GUGGCUUUCGUACAAAGGCAGUACCUCAGAUUGUGGAUCUGAAGAUAUGGGUUCGAUUCCCAUAGGUCACA
rnacentral:tRNA from 1 species